rnacentral:rRNA from 1 species
AAAGGAAUAGACGGGGGCUCACACAAGCGGUGGAGGAUGUGGCUUAAUUCGAGGCUACGCGAAGAACCUUAUCCCAGGCUUGACAUGCAAGGAUGCCCUUUACGAAAGUAAAGUAAGUUGUUAGCAAUAAUGAAACUUGCACAGGUGCUGCAUGGCUGUCGUCAGCUCGUGUCGUGAGACGUCGGGUUAAGUCCCUUAACGAGCGCAACCCCUAUCGUCAGUUGCCAUCAUUUAGUUGGGAACGCUGGCGAGACUGCCAAAGUUAAUGCGGAGGAAGGCGGGGACGACGUCAAGUCCUCAUGGCCCUUAUGCUUGGGGCUGCACACGUCCUACAAUGGAUUCCACAGAGGGCAGCGAGAUCGUGAGAUUUAGCAAACCCCUAAAAAGGAUCCUCAGUUCGGAUUGUAGUCUGCAACUCGACUACAUGAAGUCGGAAUCGCUAGUAAUCGCGGGUCAGCAUACCGCGGUGAAUAUGUUCCUGAGCCUUGUACACACCGCCCGU